rnacentral:miRNA from 1 species
GUAAGUUUAGAACAAUCCACCGUCCGCAGUUUCUUAUGAUGUGCUCCGAGCCUACAUGUGUUCGAAGCACCACGAGAAGCUGCAGAUGGACGAUUUUGUUCCUUUUUCC